rnacentral:rRNA from 1 species
UUCCUACGGGACGCAGCAGUGGGGAAUAUUGCACAAUGGGGGAAACCCUGAUGCAGCAACGCCGCGUGAAGGAAGACGGUUUUCGGAUUGUAAACUUCUAUCAAUAGGGAAGAAAGAAAUGACGGUACCUAAAUAAGAAGCCCCGGCUAACUACGUGCCAGCAGCCGCGGUAAUACGUAGGGGGCAAGCGUUAUCCGGAAUUACUGAGUGUAGAGGGAGAGUAGGCGGCAAGGUAAGCGAUAUGUGAAAGCCUUAAGCUUAACUUAAGGAUUGCAUAACGAACUAUCUAGCUAGAGUACAGGAGA